AUUGAACGCUGGCGGCAGGCCUAACACAUGCAAGUCGAGCGGAGCGGCGGACGGGUGAGUAAUGCCUAGGAAUCUGCCUGGUAGUGGGGGAUAACGUCCGGAAACGGGCGCUAAUACCGCAUACUAUCAGAUGAGCCUAGGUCGGAUUAGCUAGUUGGUGGGGUAAAGGCCUACCAAGGCGACGAUCCGUAACUGGUCUGAGAGGAGGAUCAGUCAAACUGGAACUGAGACACGGUCCGAAUCCCAAGGGGGGCCAGCAGUGGGGAAUAUUGGACAAUGGGCGAAAGCCUGAUCCAGCCAUGCCGGGUGUGGGAAGAAGGUCUUCGGAUUGUAAAGCACGUUAAGUUGGGAGGCGUUACCAACAGAAUAAGCACCGGCUAACUUCGUGCCAGCAGCCGCGGUAUAC
rnacentral:rRNA from 1 species